rnacentral:misc_RNA from 1 species
GGCAGCACAAUGAAGGGCAGUGCUAUUAUCACGGCCACAAGAACGAUUCACAUCAACUCCAGCUAGUGAAAGAAUCAGCUUUAAAACAUCAAUACUACCAUACAUAGCAGCAACCAUCAAAGGGGUUCUAUGCUCGAGAACCAUUUGCCUUGUACCCUUUUGGCGCCCAUACCACAUCCCAACCUCAUUAAUACUGGAUAGAUCAUGCUCAAUCCAUCUUUUAAAAGCAUCUAUAUCGUUGUUGGAUGCAAUUUCAAGCAAGCUAGCAAGAGUAUCUUCAGUUUCAACAGUCAAAUGAUUCAUGUUCAUGUCUGUAGUUUAAUAUAUACCAACAAAAAUUGAGCUGAUUAGAUCAAAAAAGAUGAAAUUUUUAAGACCAGCAGCAGCUCUUCAGUACUAUUUCAUGUCUUAACAGGACAUAUAUAUAUAGAUAUAGAGAGAG